AGAGAGCUCUUCCUUCGGGGAGGCAUUUCACAGGUGAUGCAUGGCUGUCGUCAGCUCGUGUUGUGAGAUGUUGGGGUUAAGUCCCUUAGCAGGCGAAACCCUCUUUCUUAUUUGCUAACAGGUAAUGCUGAGAACUAUAAGAAGACUGCCCCGUGAAGCGGGAGGAAGGAGAGGAUGAUGUCAAAUCAUCAUGUCCCUUAUGGGCUGGGCUACACAGGUGCUACAAUGGGGUGUACAAAGUGUUGCAAUGUAGUAAUACGGAGCUAAUCACUAAAGCACUCCUCAGUACGGAUUGAGGCUUGCAACUCAGCCUCAUGAAGCUGGAAUCGCUAGUAAUCGUGGAUCAGAAUGCUGCGGUGAAUACGUUCCUGGGUUUUGCACACGCUGCCCGUC
rnacentral:rRNA from 1 species